rnacentral:rRNA from 1 species
AUACGUAGGGGGCGAGCGUUGUCCGGAAUGAUUGGGCGUAAAGGGCGCGUAGGCGGCCCGGUAAGUCUGGAGUGAAAGUCCUGUUUUUAAGAUGGGAAUUGCUUUGGAUACUGUCGGGCUUGAGUGCAGGAGAGGUAAGUGGAAUUCCCAGUGUAGCGGUGAAAUGCGUAGAGAUUGGGAGGAACACCAGUGGCGAAGGCGACUUACUGGACUGUAACUGACGCUGAGGCGCGAAAGUGUGUGGAGCAAACAGGAUUAGAUACCCUGGUAGUCCACACUGUAAACGAUGAAUGCUAGGUGUAGGGGGUAUCGACCCCUUCUGUGCCGCAGUCAACACAAUAAGCAUUCCGCCUGGGGAGUACGGCCGCAGGGUUGAAACUCAAAUGAAUUGACGGGG